AUGAAUUAAGGGGAUGGAGCUCCCCCUUUAACCACUGUUAAAUAGCAGUUGAUGGCUCCUAUCUUUUU
rnacentral:ncRNA from 1 species